rnacentral:rRNA from 1 species
AUUGAACGCUGGCGGAAUGCUUUACACAUGCAAGUCGAACGGCAGCACGGACUUCGGUCUGGUGGCGAGUGGCGAACGGGUGAGUAAUGUAUCGGAACGUGCCCAGUCGUGGGGGAUAACGUAGUGAAAAUUACGCUAAUACCGCAUACGAUCUAUGGAUGAAAGCGGGGGAUCGCAAGACCUCGCGCGAUUGGAGCGGCCGAUAUCAGAUUAGGUAGUUGGUGGGGUAAAGGCCCACCAAGCCAACGAUCUGUAGCUGGUCUGAGAGGACGACCAGCCACACUGGAACUGAGACAGGGGCCAGGCUCCUACGGGAGGCAGCAGUGGGGAAUUUUGGACAAUGGGCGAAAGCCUGAUCCAGCCAUUCCGCGUGCAGGAUGAAGGCCCUCGGGUUGUAAACUGCUUUUGUACAGAACGAAAAGGUUUCUACUAAUACUAGGAGCUCAUGACGGUACUGUAAGAAUAAGCACCGGCUAACUACGUGCCAGCCGCCGCCGUAA